rnacentral:sRNA from 1 species
AAUAGAGGAACUCAGUCUAAGUACGCCAAGUCCUGUGGCAACGACUGAGUGACCAACAUCGUGUUGG